rnacentral:rRNA from 1 species
GGGCGUAAAGGGAGCGCAGGCGNUCAGGAAAGUCUGGAGUAAAAGGCUAUGGCUCAACCAUAGUGUGCUCUGGAAACUGUCUGACUUGAGUGCAGAAGGGGAGAGUGGANUUCCAUGUGUAGCGGUGAAAUGCGUAGAUAUAUGGAGGAACACCAGUGGCGAAAGCGGCUCUCUGGUCUGUCACUGACGCUGAGGCUCGAAAGCGUGGGUAGCGAACAGGAUUAGAUACCCUGGUAGUCCACGCCGUAAACGAUGAGUGCUAGGUGUUAGGCCCUUUCCGGGGCUUAGUGCCGGAGCUAACGCAAUAAGCACUCCGCCUGGGGAGUACGACCGCAAGGUUGAAACUCAAAGGAAUUGACGGGGGCCCGCACAAGCGGUGGAGCAUGUGGUUUAAUUCGAAGCAACGCGAAGAACCUUACCAGGUCUUGACAUCCCGAUGCUAUUCUUAGAGAUAGGAAGUUACUUCGGUACAUCGGAGACAGGUGGUGCAUGGUUGUCGUCAGCUCGUGUCGUGAGAUGUUGGGUUAAGUCCCGCAACGAGCGCAACCCUUAUUGUUAGUUGCCAUCAUUAAGUUGGGCACUCUAGCGAGACUGCCGGUAAUAAACCGGAGGAAGGUGGGGAUGACGUCAAAUCAUCAUGCCCCUUAUGACCUGGGCUACACACGUGCUACAAUGGUCGGUACAACGAGUUGCGAGCCGGUGACGGCAAGCUAAUCUCUGAAAGCCGAUCUCAGUUCGGAUUGGAGGCUGCAACUCGCCUCCAUGAAGUCGGAAUCGCUAGUAAUCGCGGAUCAGCACGCCGCGGUGAAUACGUUCCCGGGCCUUGUACACACCGCCCGUCACACCACGAGAGUUUGUAACACCCGAAG